rnacentral:rRNA from 1 species
AGCUACGGCCAUACACAGCUGAAAACACCGGGUCUCGUCCGAUCCCCGAAGUUAAGCAGCUGCUGGCGCAGUCAGUACUCUGGUGGGAGACCACAGGGGAAUACUGCGUGUCGUAGUUU